GUGCCAGCCGCCGCGGUAACACGUAGGGGGCAAGCGUUGUCCGGAUUUAUUGGGCGUAAAGAGCUCGUAGGCGGCUUGGUAAGUCGGGUGUGAAACCUCCAGGCUCAACCUGGAGACGCCACUCGAUACUGCUAUGGCUAGAGUCCGGUAGGGGAGCGUGGAAUUCCUGGUGUAGCGGUGAAAUGCGCAGAUAUCAGGAGGAACACCAGCGGCGAAGGCGGCGCUCUGGGCCGGAACUGACGCUGAGGAGCGAAAGCGUGGGGAGCGAACAGGAUUAGAUACCCUAGUAGUCC
rnacentral:rRNA from 1 species